GACGAACGCUGGCGGCGUGCUCAACACAUCCAAGUCGAACGGAGUGGCCAACGGGUGAGUAACACGUGGGUGAUCUGCCUCGCAAUUCGGGAUCAGCUUGGGACACUGGGUCUAAUACCGGAUAGUGCAAGAUGAGAUCUCGGCCUAUCAGCUUGUUGGUGGGGUAAUGGCCUCACAAGGCGUCGCCGGGUAGCCGGCCUGAGAGGGUGUACGGCCACAUUGGGACUGAGAUACUGCCCAGACUCCUACGGGAGGCAGCAGUGGGGCAUAUUGCACAAUGGGAGGAAGCCUGAUGCAGCGACGCCGCGUGGGGGAUGAAGGCCGUCGGGUUGUAGACUCCUUUCGACAGGGACGCGGGACCUGUAUAAGAAGCAGCGGCUAACUACGUGCCAGCAGCCGCGUGGAUC
rnacentral:rRNA from 1 species